rnacentral:rRNA from 1 species
UUUUUUACAAAUAAUUUAAAAUAAAACCUGCUCAAUGAAUAUUUAAAUAGCCGCAGUAAUUUAACUGUGCUAAGGUAGCAUAAUCAUUAGUCUCUUAAUUAGGGACCAGAAUGAACGGUUUAACAUUCUUUUCACUUUUUUAAAUAUAUUCAUAUAAAUUAUACUAAAUAUAAAAAUAUAUUUAUUUAAAAACUAGACGACAAGACCCUUUCAAACUUUACUUAAGUUAAGCUGGGGAAGCUAUUUAAUUAAAAUCUUAAAAAUUAAUAAAUAAACAGACCUAGAAAAACUAAUUUUUUGAAAAAGUUACUGAAGGGAUAACAGCAUAAUAUAUUUAUAUAGCUCGUAUUUAAAAAUUAGUUUAUGACCUCGAUGUUGAAUUAUUUUACUUUUAAGCGCAAGAGCCUAAAAAGUAGGUCUGUUCGACCUUUAAAUAUUU